GAAUUUGUCUUGUUUUGUAUUCGAGCUUAGUGUCUGUUUGGUUUUAUAUGCUGUGAAAUAUAUGAAACAAUCGUUGUACUCUAAAAGUUUAAACCGGUAUGAUAUUAUGCGAAAUAUAUGAAAUAGUAGCUGUACUCUAAAAAUUUAAACCCGUAGAAAAUAAUAUUUAAAUAUUUUUAUAUUUAACAUAUAUAUUUGAAUUUUAAUUACUACAAUUGAAACCGUACAGAGAGGCUCAACUAUAAUUAAUGGAACUACGCCUAAAUUGUUCAUAAUUCUAAUUGCAAUAAUUGGAGAUAGUAAUUGUAUAUAAAAUAUAAACUUAUCUAUCUAAUGACCUUUUAAACAAAAGUUAUAUAUAUAAAAUGAUAAAAUUAAUCAAUACAACUAUCAAUUGCAUAUAACUAAAUAAAUUAUUUAUAAUUAUAAUAUAUUUUAUAUUAUUUAAUGAAAUAAAAAAUAUAUAUAUACAUAAUUAUAAUUAUAUUUUGAAUUAUAAGUAUUUUUAGCUAUACCGUGUAUUUGUAACUGUAUCCAACCAUGUACAUUGUUAGCUUGGUUGUUGAAACCUAAUAAGGAGAGAGAGAGAGAGAGAGAGAGAGGGAGGGGAGAUGUGGCACAUGUCGGAUCAUUGGUGCUAACCAUUAAUCCAAAAAACUCGAGCUGUUAGAAAUACACAAUCAAUAUAUUUAAAGCGUACAAAUACAACGCUCACACCGACCGUCCCUAAAGCAAGUGGCAAAGAACUUGGUGGUUGGUAUUCGAGACCUAAGUUCGAAUCCUAUUUGAUUCACAUUUCUAGCUAAGUUUAUUUUAAAUGAAAUAAACAAAACGGAUAGCGUGCUAUCUAUCUCGCAAAAAAAAAAAAAAAAUACAACGCUUACGGGUUUCAAUUGUGACUCGGCCCACCCAAUCUUACGCUACUUCGAACAUGACUCGGCCUACCCAGUCUCACGUCAUUUCAAACAUGACUCGAUCCAACCCAGCCUCCCGUCACAGAGCAGAAUACUACCUAAGCCAACAAUAUGUG
rnacentral:lncRNA from 1 species